UGAUGUUAAAGCACAGUGCACAGAACUCAGGCAAUGUGAUGUGUGUUUCAGUGUUUUGCCUAUGAUGAGCUGAAGACUACUAGGCUGAAGACCUGCAUUCAGCCUUCUUGGCUGAAGACCUGCAUGCUGAAGACCUAGUAGGCUGAAGAAGACCUGGAUGCUAAUGUUUCUGCAUAUGACUAUGCAGCCUCAUAUAUGAUCACAUGGAGAGAAAGUGGAGCUAAUCACAUCCUGCAAUAGCAAGAAUUGGUGAAUGGAUGAUGAGAAGGCUAUCUAGAUGCUUCAAAUAUCUAAACAAUUAUCACUUCUCUUUGGCUGAACUGCUCAAGGUCAUUACUUCCGCCUUCCAUUGACUACCAGCCAAGGAUUUUAUCAACAUCCUGAUGUGCAGAAUAAUGGCCUACUUUCCUGGAUGAAGGCAAUCAUGUGGAAGAAAAAUAUGCUGUUAAAAAAGCAGCAAAAACUUCCAGACACACAGUACUGCCAAAG